GAGGGGAAGGGAGGUGACGUGGGGAGGGGAGGUCAGGUGAGGUGAGAUGGGACGUGAAGGUGACAUGGGGACAUGAGGUAGGCAUGUGAGAUGGGGGUAUGGGACACAAAGGUGACAUGGGGCUUUAGGUGAUGCGGGGACAUGAGGUGACGGGAUGUGAGGUGAGAUGGGGACAGGACAUGAGGUGAUGUCAGGCCUCGUGACAUGGGAACAUGACGUGAUGGAUGCCGGCUUGAGACAGAGGACGGCGCACACCCACUGUGGGAAUGUCUGGGGGCCUGCUGAGGACAAAGGAGCUGCCUCUGUUCCAGGGCCCCUGGAUACAUCCUCCCUGCCCUGAAUCCCAGAGAGACCCG
rnacentral:lncRNA from 1 species